UACGGGGGGAGCAAGCGUUGUUCGGAUUUACUGGGCGUAAAGGGCGCGUAGGCGGCGCGGUAAGUCGGGUGUGAAAUCUCGGAGCUUAACUCCGAAACUGCAUUCGAUACUGCCGUGCUUGAGGACUGGAGAGGAGACUGGAAUUUACGGUGUAGCGGUGAAAUGCGUAGAUAUCGUAAGGAAGACCAGUGGCGAAGGCGGGUCUCUGGACAGUUCCUGACGCUGAGGCACGAAGGUCAGGGGAGCAAACGGG
rnacentral:rRNA from 1 species